rnacentral:rRNA from 1 species
AUGGCGGACGCAUGCCGUGCCCGCGCCGAGUGCCGGGCUGCCCUCGCCACCCGCGUCGCUCAGACGGCCCCUGUCGGCGGGCCACCUCGUCGUUCUCCGCCGCCUCCGCCAACGCCGCCACCGGCCCGGCGUGGAACGAGCAGCAAGCGUCCUCGCUGCAUCCCUCGAUGCGGCGGGACGGCCACACCGCCACUCCAUCGCCGACUCCCGCUGGUUCGUCGUCUCACGCUCGUCGCGCUCCCAUGGACGCACGGGCCGCGCUCCUCAUGGCGCACGAGCUCCUGCGCUACCGUCCGGUCGAUGACCUUUACAAGGAUUGGCUCGACCGCAUCGCCGAGCUUGUCUGCGCCGCAGGGGGCUCCCCUGCGCCGUCCCUCUCUCUGCCUCGCCCUCCGCCAGCUACGGGCGACGUAG